rnacentral:snRNA from 1 species
AAAAUAUCAAGAGAUACCAUGAUCAGGAAGGUGGUUUUCCCAGGGUGAGGCUCAUCCUUUACACUGCGGGUGUGCUAACCCCUGCGAUUUCCCCAAAUGCGGGAAACAACUGCAUAAUUUGUAGUAGAGGGGACUGCAUUUGCACUUUCCCCUG